rnacentral:rRNA from 1 species
AUUGAACGCUGGCGGCAUGCCUUACACAUGCAAGUCGAACGGCAGCGGACCUUCGGGUGCCGGCGAGUGGCGAACGGGUGAGUAAUAUAUCGGAACGUACCUUUCAGUGGGGGAUAACGUAGCGAAAGUUACGCUAAUACCGCAUAUUCUGUGAGCAGGAAAGCAGGGGAUUGCAAGACCUUGCGCUGAUUGAGCGGCCGAUAUCAGAUUAGCUAGUUGGUGAGGUAAAGGCUCACCAAGGCGACGAUCUGUAGCGGGUCUGAGAGGAUGAUCCGCCACACUGGAACUGAGACACGGUCCAGACUCCUACGGGAGGCAGCAGUGGGGAAUUUUGGACAAUGGGCGCAAGCCUGAUCCAGCCAUGCCGCGUGAGCGAAGAAGGCCUCGGUUGUAAGUAC